AUGCCAAAAUGUGCUUCAGACGACACACUUCAGACGACAUAAGUUUUGUUUUAUGUCGUCUGAGUUUUUCAGACGACAUAAUUUUUUUUUGUGUUGUCUGAAUAUAGACUAAAACCAUACUCGUUCAAUUUGAAAAAAUGGUGAGCAUUCAGACAACACAUUUGUGUAGUUGUAAAAGAUGAUGAUUUCCUAUCUCAAAUGCGGAGGGAUAUCCAAAAUUUGAUCAAGUACUUUUCCCUCUCAAAUAGCCGAACUCUAGUUGACUAGAAAAUGUUGUGACAUUUAGACAACAUUUAAAUGUCGUCUGAGUGUGGAGCUUGUUUUAAAAUUUUUGAAGUUAUUUUGACUUGUGCUUUUUUACAUAGAUCCCUCGUAAUUAAAUCAUUUUCUGUCCUUCUCACUCCAACACCAGCCCGCGCGCUCUCUCUUUCUCACUCAGCUCGACCUAGAACCCGCGAAACUGGAAAACUCAAACACCAGCCUCUCUCCUUCUCACUCAGCUCUCUCAGAUCUCUCAGAUCUCGAUUCUCACUCUCUCCUCUCUCCUUCAUCUUCUCACUCUCUCGAUUCUUCUUGGUCUCUCCUUCUUCUUCUUAGCCUCUACUUCAUCUUUCGCGACCGGAUUAGUGGACCUCCCCAGCAACAACAGAGCUGUUUUUAAUUCGGAUAUUGGGAAACUUGGUGCUACAAAAGGAUUUGCUGGGAAGGAUGUAGUGAUUGUGGCGGCCUACCGAACUGCCAUUUACAAAGCAAAGCGAGGCGGUUUUAAGGAUACUUUAGCUGAUGAUUUACUGGCACCUGUUUUGAAGAUAUGGAGGAUGAAGUUAGAGAAUUGGGGGAAAGAAGAGGAACUUCAAGUUUGGAUGCCCAAGGCUGAGAAGGUUGGUAGGGAUUCAAGGGGGAUGCUUGGCCUACAUUACCUAUUGUGGACCCAAAAACUAGAGAGGAGAGGCAUGUUACAAUUUAUGUGGAUGAUGGCAUCCGGCCAAAUGCAAACAUGACUGAUUUGGCGAAAUGGAAGCUUGCAUUUAAAUCAGAUGGGACAACAACUACAGGAAAUGCUAGCCAGGUAAGUGAUGGUGCUUGAGUAGUACUCCUGAUGAAGAGAAGUGUAGCUAUUCAGAAGGGACUUCCUAUUAUUGGUGUUUUCAGUGGGAAAGAAAAGCAAAUCACUACACAAUGGAGAAUGUUGAUGUUGUCCCGGCAGAGUAGGCAAAGUAUGUUCUUAAGUUUAAAGAUAGCUAGUGUGUAGGUUAAUUAGUAGUUGGAGAUAUGUAGCAUAAGCUUUUGGACAUGCAUAGUUGAUAUAUAGGCCAGACUUUGACUUACAGUACUGCUAGCUAUUUUGCUGUGUUGUUUAGUUGGUUGCCCAGAUUGUGCAGUGCUUCUGGUUUAUUAGCUUGCAGUACUGUGUGCAUAUAUUUUGUUGGCUGCCCAGAUUAGUAGAUUUGGGUCAUUUUGAACUGAUGCUCAUGAUUAAUUUGUGUACAUGAGACAAUGGUGGAUUAAUGGAAA